rnacentral:misc_RNA from 1 species
UACAGAGGGUGCAAGCGUUAAUCGGAAUUACUGGGCGUAAAGCGUGCGUAGGCGGCUUUUUAAGUCGGAUGUGAAAUCCGCGAGCUUAACUUGGGAAUUGCAUUCGAUACUGGGAAGCUAGAGUAUGGGAGAGUAUGGGAGAAUUCCAGGUGUAGCGGUGAAAUGCGUAGAGAACUGGAGGAAUACCGAUGGCGAAGGCAGCCAUCUGGCCUAAUACUAACGCUGAGGUACGAAAGCAUGGGGAUCAAACAGG